UACUGUUUCUUAUUUCUCCGACUGUGGCUAUGGAGCAAAACCUAAAAUCAUCAACAGUAAAAUCAAAAUUCAAAGUUAAAUAUUGGAUGCCUCCUCCCCCCUGUACAAUGCUCCAGUCUCAGCAGGCUGUCCGGUAAACGGAAUAAUGCAUAUUCUAUUUACAGUCCAGUUCAGAAGCUUUCAGCAAUUGUAUAUGACACUCUCUCAAUUCACUUUCCUUUUCGCUUAGAUUCUCUUCGAAAUUAAUUCAACCGUUAAAAUUUUCUAUAUUUUGUUCCAUCAUCAAAUUCUAAAUUUGCUCUACCUUCUAGGCUGCUCCAAUUUAGCUUUUCUAUAAAAAUGCUUGUUUUUCAGAAGAAUGGCCAGCAGAGGUCAUAGCCGGAGAAUUUUCCGGUGGAUUCUCUGACCAAGUAAGCAGAUCUGCUGUGUGUGACUUUUCUUCCGAGAAAAACUUGCAAUAAUUCCACAUUACGUGGCCCACGAAGAUGAUACAAGUAUUGACAGGCAUGUCCAUUAGUUCGUCAAUGCAAAAGACUUUUGAAUAGUUCUGGAGAAGAAUCUCUCUAUAUUUCCACAAAUUUUAAGCUUGGCCAAUUGGAAUGCUUUCCUUUUUCCUUGUUCUUUACUUCUAUGGAUAGUGAGACAUUGACUCAUUGACUUGAAGUCGUUCUACCCGUAUUUCACAAGCUGAGAAAAUAAACUCGCAAGACUUGUAAUGAUUCACUACACUAUAAAACUCUACCCCUCCAAAAGUUCAUCAAUAACCAAAACAAUCAACUGAAAUUUAUCCUUUAGCAAUAAUGAAGAUUCACAGAAUAUUUGCUUUCCUUCAGUUUUUUACUCUCUUAUAUCUCUUCACAGUUUCUUUUGCUUCUACUGAGGAGGCAACUGCUCUCCUCAAAUGGAAAGCGACUUUCCAAAACCAGAAUAAUACUUUAUUGGCUUCAUGGAAACUAAGUCAUGUUGGUUCCAAGAAUUCUUCCAGCGUCGGAGCGACAGGUUCUGAUGCAUGCAGGGGCUGGUAUGGAGUUACAUGCUUAAAUGGAAGGGUCAACAGGUUGAAUAUUACAAAUGCUAGUGUUGUUGGCACACUCUAUGAUUUUCCAUUUUCAUUUCUUCCUUUACUUGAAUAUGUUGAUCUUAGCAUGAACCAGCUCUCUGGCACAAUCCCCCCUGAAAUAGGUAAACUCACUAAUCUAGUUUAUCUUGACUUGUCCAUCAACCACAUUUCGGGCACAAUCCCACUACAAAUCGGGUCACUAACAAAGCUUGAGACCCUUCAUAUCUUUGACAACCAAUUAAAUGGUUCCAUUCCGGAAGUAAUAGGUCACCUAAGGUCUCUUUCGGAACUAGCUUUGAAUACCAACUUUCUUAAUGGUUCAAUUCCUGCUUCAUUGGGGAAUUUGAACAACCUGUCUUCUUUGUAUCUUUAUGAGAAUAAGCUUUCUGGCUCCAUUCCAGCAGCAAUAGGGAAACUCGUUAAUCUUGUUGUGGCUUAUCUCGAUACAAACCAGUUAACAGGUCAUAUUCCUCCAGAAAUAGGUAACUUGAUCAAAGCAAAAGUGUUCUAUGCUUUCUCUAAUGAAUUAUCUGGUCCCAUUCCUGUUGAAAUUGGAAAGAUGAAGUCACUUCAGAGUUUAAGCUUCCACAAAAACAAUCUUUCUGGUCCAAUUCCCCAAACAAUAGGUGACUUAACUGAGCUCCAACUCUUGCACCUUUACAAUAACCAACUUUCUGGUUCCAUUCCUAGUAAGUUGGGGAAUUUGAAAAACCUUACUGAUCUGCAAUUAUCUGGUAAUCAACUUACUGGGUCAAUUCCAGCUUCCUUGGGCAAUUUGAGAAACUUGCAAACUCUGUUUCUCCGGGACAAUAAACUUUCGGGUUCCAUUCCACCAGAACUUGCCUAUUUGGAUAACUUGGUUGUGCUGGAAAUGGAUGAAAACCAAUUUUCAGGCCAUUUGCCUGAGAAUCUUUGCCAAGGUGGAAAACUUGAGAACUUCACGGUGAAUAGUAACAAGCUGUCGGGGCCAAUUCCAAGAAGCUUGAGCAAGUGCUCGAGUUUCAAAAGGGUCCGCUUUGAUAACAACAGUUUCACUGGGAAUUUAUCGGAAGCUUUUGGUAUCUAUCCAGAGCUUCAGUUCAUUAUUUUGAGCGACAACGAUUUUUAUGGUGAACUCAGCAACAACUGGGGAAAAUGCAAGAAUUUGACAAAUUUUCAGAUAGCCAGAAAUAACAUUAGUGGUAGCAUACCACCAGAGAUUGGAAAUGUCAAAGGGCUUUCAGGACUUGAUCUUUCAUCUAAUCAUUUGGUUGGGCAGAUUCCCAAGGAAUUUGGAAGAUUGACCUCUCUAAUUAAUCUCUUUGUGCAAAACAACCACAUUUCUGGCAGUCUACCUGGGGAACUUGGGUCACUAACAAAGUUAGAAACCCUUGAUUUGUCAGACAAUGUAUUUAAUGGGUCAAUCCCGAUGUUUAUAGGAGAUUACAUGAAGCUGAUUCACUUGAACCUGAGCAACAACAGAUUUGGCCAGAAAAUUCCGAUGGAGAUAGGAAGGAUAACUCACCUUAAUGUACUUGAUUUGAGCCAUAAUCUUCUUGAUGGAGAAAUACCCCCUCAAUUGGCCCAUUUGGUGAACUUGGCUAUCAUAAAUCUUUCCCACAAUGACCUCUCUGGCCGCAUUCCUAAAGAAUUUAAAAGUUUGACAGGUUAUGUCAUAUUGUCAUACAAUGAGUUGGAAGGUCCAAUACCGAAUAAUGAAGCUUUUAUGAAUGCCUCGUUAGAAGGCAAUAAAGGUCUUUGUGGUAAUGUAACAGGAUUCCAGCCUUGCGAAAGUCCAUUUUCUGUGGUGGAGAAGCACUCAAGACGUAAACUCAUCCUCGUCACUGUACUUCCUGUUAUGGGAGCACUAGUACUUCUCUGUACUUUCAUUGGUGUUCUGCUAAUGUGUGAUGAAAGAAGAAGAGUUGGAGACAUUGAAAGACGGGAUUCCAGUGAUGUUGUUGAUGUUGAUGAAGAUAAUGGUUUGCUCUCGAUAUCCACGUUACAUGGAAGUGCACUGUACUGGGAUAUCUUAAAAGCCACAAAAGAGUUUGAUGCAGUGUUUUGCAUCGGGAAAGGAGGGUCCGGAAGCGUUUACAAGGCAAAGCUUCCAUCAUUUGAGAAUGUAGCUGUAAAGAGACUUCAUUCUUCAUUUGAGAAUACACAUCUCAAAAGCUUCAUGAAUGAGGUAAGGGCAUUGACAAGGAUUAAACAUCGGAACAUUGUGAAACUCUAUGGCUUUUGUUCUAAUGCAAAACACUCGUUCUUAGUUUACGAGUACGUGGAGAGAGGGAGUUUGUUUAGUAUCUUGAGCAAUCAAGUAGAGUCCAAGAAAUUGGAUUGGCUUAAGAGGGUGGAUAUCAUCAAAGGUGUUGCUUUUGCUUUAUCUUACAUGCAUCAGGAUUGCUCGCCACCAAUUGUUCAUCGAGACAUAUCAAGCAAUAAUAUUUUGCUUGAUUCUGAGUAUAAAGCUUGUGUUUCAGACUUCGGAAUAGCUAAGCUUCUCAAUCCAGAAUCAUCCAAUUGUACUGCACUUGCAGGCACAUAUGGCUACGUUGCACCAGAGCUUGCCUACACAAUGAAGGUUACAGAAAUGUGUGAUGUCUAUAGCUUUGGAGUAUUAGCAUUGGAGAUAAUCAAGGGAAAGCAUCUUGGGGAAUUCAUUUCUCUGCUAGCAAAUUCAUCGACUAGAGAUCAUGUGCAGCUUAGCGAUUUGCUUGAUGAACGUCUUCCAAAUCCUGAAGAUGAAGUAAAAGAGGUUUUGGUUUUUAUCAUCAAGCUAGCGAGCUCUUGUUUACUGGAAACUCCAAAAUCAAGGCCAACAAUGCACUUCAUCUCCCAUAUGUUGUCAAUGGAUCCACCUGGUUAUCAGAUAACCUCCAUGAAGGCGAAAAGCUUCCUCGAGAUAUAAGGUGUUUGUGUAUGGAAAAGAGCAAGUUUUGAUGCCAAGUUGUUGUUAAGCAAGAACAAGAAAUUAGUGAGACGUUCCUAGUAUUUGUGUAUUGUUAGUGUGCUUAUCUAGUUUAGAGUUUCAACUUGAAGGAUUCUGAGCCCUUGCACCAGAGUUUAUACAAUAUCAUGUAGAAGGACAAUAAAGAACCUCCCAGCUUGAUCACAUACCCUGUCACAGACCUCCUGGUGUUGGGGCAAGAUGCCCAAUCUGAGUCACAGAAACC